AUCGAAAUCAGUUUACGAGCCCUCCCUGUAUCUCUCCACUCUCCUUCUCUGCCUCUCUCCCUCUCCGCCUACCUCUCCUUCCCUACCGUCUCCUGCCACUGCGCCCCUCCAAUAGCGUUGUCCCUUGCCCUCGCGCGCCCCGUGCUCUUCGUCGUCUUCGCCAGCCCAGGUGGCAGGAAGCUACCCAUAGCCAGCCUCGUCUUCUCGGCCAAAUCCUUCUUCGGUGCACCGCUGGCCGCCACCUCGGCCUCCGUCGCUUUGUCGCUCCUGUGCCAGUGGCUGCCUCCAGCUCGCUCGAGGUCGUCGCUACGGGGAAGAAGGGGCCUUUCCGACCAAAUCCUUCUUUGGCGCGCCACUGGCCGCCACCGCGGCCUCCGUCGCGUUGCCACUCCCGCGACAACCGGCCGCCUCCAACUCGCUUGAGGUCAUCGCAGCGGGGAAGAAGGGGCUUUCCCAGCCAGAUCCUUCUUUGACGUGCCGCUGGCCACCACCGCGCCCUCCAUCGCAUCGCCACUCCCGCUAGCUCGAGGUCGUCACAAUGGGGAAGAAGGGCUGCAAGAUGAAGACACACAAGGUUCUUUCCUGCUAGCUCGUCCUUAGUUCCUGUGAGUCCUUUGGUUGUUCGAUGCCUUCUACUGAUUCAUGUCUCGUUCGGUUAUGUGUGUCAUCACUCGUCAUGGCGUCGGUGAAGCGAUUUCGGGUGACAAGGAAGGACAAGAUCAUGCGGCGGUGCGCUGGGAAGCAACACUUGCUCGCCAAGAAAAACACCAAGCGCAAGAAGAGACUCUCCAAGAUGGUAUUCUUCUUUCCUCCACUCUUGUGCCGCUCAAAUUUUGUUCAGCCGCUCAUUUUGUCGCGGAGGUCGUUUCAAUAGCAGUAAAUAGAAAUCAUGGCUGGUGCACCUCCGUGAAUUAGAUGCUAAUGUGGAAUGACGAUGUCAAUAGCAUUUGCUCUCGUAUUUUAAUUGCUUGAUAGUUUUAACGUGACAACGUUGCUGAAAACUAGAAAGGCGAAAUGCAAGGGCGUGAGUUUGUUUUGCUGAUGUGCUCUGGGGUGCUUCAUUUGUUAUUUCUUGGCAUAUGUCUCCUACUCAUUAGGAAGCUCAGUUUAUUCCUCGAUUUUCAAAUGUGUGUGAGGGCCAGUACCCGAUAGAUGGCAUGAAAAAAGCUUUUGGCUAAAAUUGAACAUGUCAAAGUUCACAGAUUAUUAUCAUGGUCCUUAAUAUAACGUUUGUUUCUGAAAAUGAACUAUUUUAUUGUACACAUAAAGUUACCACUACUAUUUUUGAAAAAGCUAGAAAAUAGUCAUGACAAUUUUGAGAAUAAGGUGGGUGGGAGUGGGUGUUUAAUGUUUUGACCUACGAGUACUUCUAAUUUUACUUCAUUAUUGUUAGUCAUCUAAUAUAUACUUGUUCCUACUUCAUUAUUAGGCGUGGGUGUUUAUUCUGUGUUAAUAAGCAGUUAUAAAUUAUGGGGUGUUAAAGUAGUAGCACGUCUUUGUUACAAGAUUAUAGCCGAUCAAGCAUACUUCGUUUACUACUUGGAUAACACACCAAGCAGAAAUAGCUGAACAAAUAUCCCUACAAACAGCUCAGACAUCAUUGUUUCAGUUCAUGUCCGUACUCUGCUUUGAUCAAAUACAGUUCCCGGUAUCCAGUCCAUACAUUUUAGUUUCCAGAUUUUUGUUUGGAUAACAUUAAGCCCAUACUUUUUCAUAUUUUCAGUUAGCACAUACAUUUCAUUUCAUCCAAGACAUGCUGAAAACUGAAUGUGACUCAUACAACGGGCUAGGCAUCCUGUUCAAAUCUAAAAACUUAGUCAGUUUGGAUCACAUCAUAUUUUCAGAUUUUCAGCUUAUAAGCUGAAAUUUGACGCCCAGUUUCCAGAUUUUAGAUUUUCAUUUUUCAGUUUUUUAUUUAAACAGUUUGGAUCACAUUCAUGUUUCAACUUUCGAUUUGCAGAUAAUAUGCACGUAGUUUUCAUAUUGACAUAUAUUAUAUGGUGGUCUGAAUCUUGAAAAAUUGCUUGCUUGUUGAGUGAAGAACUCCUUGCCAUGGUUGUUGCAGCCUAAAUCUGUUUAUAUUACUUGUAGAUAUUCAGUUGUUAUUUUGUGCCUUGCUGCUACCAAAAUUAAGAAAUGAUAACACUAUAGCCCACCUAGCAUUGUUCUAACAUUUUAAAAUAGAAUAAUUGGAUCUAUACCAUUAAAAGAUUCUAACUUUCUGCAUAGGUCUAUCGUUGGAAAUGAAGGGACAUGUCGUUUUUCUGUCCAACGAGAAUAGCAGUUGUCUUCUGCUAAUAUUGUCGCUGGACAAAUGAACUCUGUGUUUUUGUGUGCAAGCAAUAAUUCAGUUGUUGCUUUGUUGGUCUGGCUAUCUCACUAACCAUUUUUGUGGUGAUUUAAUCUUGAAGCAUCGAUUGUGCUAAAUAGUUUAUCGGAUCCUUUAUACUCAUGUUUUCCCUUGAACUGGACAGAGGUGCCGGAUAGGGCUUAAUAGUUGAAUCGAAGAUUAGGAUACGUUGGUAGGAGUACUAGGGAGGGAUCACCUGGAUCAGUGCAUUAAAGUUAGCUGACAGUAAAUAUUAUUGUUCUUGCUAUUCUUUCGAGCAAUGUUCCUCAAACCAUGAUACAUAUAUCUUGUAAUAAGAAAAUCAGUGACCUUUUUGGUGAGUGACAAUUCUAUUAUGAUAUUUUUGACGAUGGAGAUCUAGGCUAGCUUGUUCCUGAGUUGGUCCUAAGGAUAGGUUUCAUCACUUUGUGGCGUUUUAUUCAUCUUCUAGCUUAGACGGUUUAGUUAUUACACUGAGAAUUAUAUUCACUUGGAAACACUUGUUUCAGCUGGCUAUUUACUUGUAGCUAAUAGGGAGUUCCAUUUAGUUGACUAUCUCACAUAUAGUUAUCCAAAUGGUUAAGAUGUAGUGGUGUGUUGUUUUGCUUUUUGGUGUGUGUCAAUUUCUGCAGGAGAUGUUCGCCGAUCUGUGGGCCAAAGGCUUCAGUUUGCUAGGUGAGCAUCUGCACAGUUCUGAAAUAGGCGCCUAUGGUUGCACAGUUUUUUACUACAACACUUAUUCCACACUCAGGCUAAAUUUGGCUCAGUUGGUUACAAUGUCAUGUUGAUUGGAAUCUGCCAUUUGUGAAUCUAUGGUCUAUGACUUAUCUGGUAGGGUUAGAUUGGAUAAAUGUGUUCAAUACACAAAAACUUGUACUAUCUAUAUGACACUAGAGAUUAGUGUGCCAGAUUGUUAAAAGCUAGAUAAUCUACUGCUACCAUUUAAAAGUAACUGCUGGAUUAAUUUUAUAGGUGGAUUGUGCUUAAAUUGCAAUAUGGAGAUAAAUUUGUUAAAUCUGUGUAUCAGAUGGCCUGGGCUGAUCUUUAUUAGGCUUGUUAUUCAUGUUCUUCUAUUUUCCCAGGAUUCAUCUGCUUUAGCUCAAUUGGGAUGGCCAGAUAUGCGGAUACCAAUCUUAUACACCUUAUCAUGGCCAGAUAGAAUCUAUCGCCCUAGCUCAAUUUGUUAAAUCUGUCUAGAUAUUUGCAAGCAUGACAUCUUCACAACUCCUGGGCUACUUUUACAGGACAUCUGAUGCUUUUAUUUGGAAAUGACCUCCAAGAAUUCAGGUCUUAUUUUUUAUUACAGUAUGGGGUUGUUCUAAUAAGCUACUGGCAUAUGAUGGUAAUACUUGAUAAAUUCGUAUGGAUGAGGGAAACCUAAGUCAGCUGUUGGUAUGUGCAUCUGUGAUUAAAUCUGAUGGGUUUUUAAUCAGAAAAAUUAUGACAACCAUCUUAUAAAUUUUAGGAAAUAGAUAUAUUAUUGUACUUAAAACUAAAUUUUCUGAACAGCUCAUCAAACUUGGACCUUGACCUAAACUCAUUUCAAUUUUGGUGUCAUUUUGAAUAGUUAUAUGUACGAGUUGAGUUGGAUACCAUGGUAAGGUUGCUAAACAUGAAUAUGCUUUCGAAAAAAGGAUGUUAAGUAACUUAGUGACUCUGCUUAACACUGUAGGAUUUGAGGCUGCCAUAGUAUGCUCUCUGACCGUGCUAACGGGAGGAAGGAGAUGAUUUAAGUUCUCCAUGUUUAUAACCAGAAAGAGGAGGAUAGUCCAAUCAUGGUAACUAAAUAGUAGGUAGUAAUGUUUCACGGUAAAUCACAGUUCUCGAAUGCGAUAUGAUCUUUGACUCGGAGUAUUGAAGACUAAUUUAGUUUGAGUUUGAGAUUAGUUGUUUUUGUCAUUAAUAAACUCACAUUAGCGUCUGGUUACGAGCUCACUACUAGAUUUUAGAUCUCCAUUUUUGGUGUACUUCUGCUGCAUGUGCCUCCCAUAGUUGCGGAUUUGCAGGUAUCACCUGAUUCCUUUUGAUUUUUGGAUUGAGAUACAGUAAAAGUUAUCUUUGCCUGUUUCCACCACACUGUAUCAUACAGGUAAACAUGAAUACAAGGCUGGCUUGAUCUGGCAAGUGCUCGCCAUUCUAUGGGCCCAUCACACUUUUCGAGUACACUGUUUGAUCAUGAAGAGCAGUCUGCUGCCACUAAACUUGAGGUUGUUGAUCAUGAUUGUCUGAAAAUUUAUCGGGGAUAUGCCUUGGGAUGGAGAAAUGUCACAGAACACAGGAUGAAGACGAUUCCAAGAAUCCACCCAUGUCAGGACUAGAAGACGCCUUCACAUCACGGAGUAGAGCUCUCAGCAACAACAGUGCAACGAUGUUUGGACUUUUGUUCACAUAUGGGAGUGUUUAAACUCCUGCACCUAGAUUUAGAAACACCACCAUGUAAAAUAGACAAGGCGGUGCUUUUGCAAACAUGAUGCUGCCACGAGACCCGAACUUAUGUAUGGCCAAACAUGUUAACAUAUUUUGUAUGUCAUGGGCUGUUCCAGAAACAUUCUGAAAUACACGGUUCCUUCUAAAUUCUAUAUUUUGUCUUGAUAGAACGCCCGUAAAAGUGCUUCAAUGUUCUAGUUUACAUGAAAGGUAUAUAGCAAUUUACUCAAGAAUUCUAUUGUCUCUAUAGGACGGCUCCACUUAUUCUAGUAAAAUAAAAAAAACUGGAUUAGGUGGGAGCAAGCGAGUGUAGGUUGGGACUUGGGAAUAACUAGGUUUAGCAAGCGACGGUCUAGGAUAUGUUUUAUUGAUUUUAAUCGAUCCGAAAAUUUAAAACUACGAGAGCAAGAUGUGAACUGAGUUUGGCCACGGCGAUCAUUCGGAACCCCUGGGACCCGCCGCUCGACGACGCCGGCCUCCUCCGCGCCUUGACCGUCGGCAAGUGCAUCAGGGCCGCUGGCCGCGCUGCCGCCAAGCAGGGAUGGGUCGUCGUCUCCCUCCCCGCGACACCUCACGCGUCAAGCAAAGCAAUGGGCGUUAUUGUUAUCAAGCUGAGCUGGCUCUCAGCGUCAGUCAACAAGUGGUUUCUUCGCUUGCCAGACGACUUCCCGGCUGACCAAUCUACCAAAGUAGGAGGAAUCCAUCAUGGAGGCAAGAAGCAGAUAGACAAAUAUCCUCCUGCUCUUAUUACUAACACACGGUUUGCAGAACAUGUGGCUUGUUAGGCUACUACAACCAUAAACUAUUCAGUGUGCAAAAAAUGGGAAAAUAUAGCCUAGAUGAGGC